AUGCCAUUUUAGAGUACUCCAACACUCCAUGGUUAUGUGUUAGUCAUAUACAUACACUGAUAAGACUUUUGUGAUUUUCCAUAAGACAGCUAUCCAGUAAAGUGACAUCUGAGUAAACCAAAUCAGCAGAUAAAUGAACGGGUAAUUAAGACUCUAUCUAAUCCAGUACCAAGACAAUUUCUCAGUACUACUGUGAGUUACCCACCAUGAGAAAGAUAAUUAGAUCUACUGAAGAAGUGAGCAAGAAUACCACAAACACUUUCUAAUACAUUACUAAGACAAUUCCUCAGUCCCUGUGUAAGUUUGAAACCAUCCUUGACUCCUCCUUGUCCUGUCUCCAGCCCUCACCGGUGUGACCACCCUCACUGCUAAGGACAUCACGGAGUCGUCAGUGACCCUCACCUGGACGCCACCUGCAGUGCAGUACGACACCUACCACAUCACCUUCACCAGUCAGAAAGAAGGCGAUCAGAAGAUCACAUCAUCAGUGGGCGGGCGUCUCACCACCUACACUCAGACAGGAUUGGCUGCUGGCCAGGAGUACCAUGUGUCAAUCACAGGAGAGAAGGAUGGGCAGCCUGGUGCAGAGAGUUCUACAGAGUUCAUUACAAUUAUCUCAGGUCCCACCAAUCUGAAAUUGGUGAAGACAUCCACCACGUACGCAAUCAUCCAAUGGGAUCCGCCCCAGAUGGAGAUAGACAGGUAUCACUUGAGAGUCUCACCCAGCGCGGGAGGAGACCAGGGCAGUCAGGAGAUCGUCGUGCCCCCCUCCAGGGUGUCCGCCCAGAUAGAUCGUCUGAAGGCGGGAGUGCUCUAUGACAUCACUCUGGUGGCAGAGAAGGAUGGAGCCGGAGUUCGCCAGAGACGAUACAGGUCGUGCCCGGUGAGUCCAGAACUCUCCAGAAUCAUCCUUAAGGCAUCCACAUGCAUCCAUUCACAUCCAGAGCCAUGGACUGUUCAUGUGUUCUGUGACUGAUUUUUGUAAGAUGUUGUGGAGACUUUAACUCCUUGGUUUUAGGAUUGGUUUUAGUAUAGAUGUUUUUGUGUUCUAUGGUGUUACAGAACAGCAUUUACUUAGAGUUUGUCCUACCAAGGCACGGCAGCAGACUAACAUGGAGUAGCAGAGAUUUUUGGGAAGAUGUUCCAGAGCCUUAAACCCCCUAGUUUUAGGUCUUCCACCUUCUCUUGUAAACGUGGACAGCCUGCCAGUGUUACAAAUAGAAAUGCUAUCUCUUCAGCACAGAAAAAAUAAUAUGUAAACUUUGAAAUCCUUCCAGGACUGGACUGCCGUUGAGUGGAAAUGUUUGCAACACUCUUUCUGUUUGUGAGAAGUGAUAAGAUUAUUCUGUUUGUGAGGAGAAGUGAUAACAUUUUUCUCUCCCUUUUCGGGUUUUUUCUGUACCAGUGAUUUGCACCAGCUCUCUCUCUCUCUCUUUCUCUCUCUCUCUCGCUCUCUCUUUCUCUCUCUCUCUCUGUCUCUCUCUCUAUCUGGGAUUAUCUUAGCCCCAUUUUAUAUUACGUGUCCUCGGGUACAAACAGAAACGUACUAUCAAGCACCAUUUGCUAGCAACAAUAUUUGUCCAUACAACAAAAUUAGUACUUUACAUGUUGAUACUAGAUGUACUUUGGCAGUGUUAAGUGUUAAGAUUAGCAAUAUAUUAUAAUAUGUACUUAACCUACAUGAGAAGUACAUAGUGUUAGUACACUGUAUUAUUACUUAGUACAAUGUAAUACAAAUAUACUCUAUUAAGGACACUUAAAACCAAAUGGGACCAAGAUUCCUUUUAUCUGACUGCUUUUCAGCUCUGCUGGACGAGAGACUCAGCUUCUCCUGUGACCAUCUUUUCAGCUGUUCGAGACUUUAAUGACUCCUUCGUUUCUCAGCAGGAAAUGAGACUGCCGUUUUCUCAGUUUGAAACAGGUGGAAAGCAAGCUGGAACCGAACCGAGGCUAUUUUUCUUUCAACGUUAUAUUUU
ensembl:lncRNA